AUGAGAAGAGUAGAGAGUAAAGCCCUCUGUUUAUCUGCAGAAUUGGUUCAGAAGAACAUUGCCAGUGCAUAAUACCGUAUGGGUUCUGCAUUUGUAAUGCUGAGGAAUCACAUUUAGGAAAGAGAAGAUGUUGUGGUCUCCUUACUCUUUCCAUCCUCAGUCUCU
rnacentral:sRNA from 1 species